GGUUUGGAUACGUGGUGUACCAUACAGAACAAUGAGAUCUUAUUAUGGGAACCCUUAUUACAAUCAGGUACAAGUUCCAGGAAGGUAUGUCCUGAAGCCAAACUAUUAUUACCCGCGAUCGUUGGAACAACCAAUUUUAAAUACAGGUUGCUUCAGGCAAAAUAGUAUUUUGCCUAAACGUUGGACAAUAUGGCCCAACCGCUGGAAUAAAUAUUAUUAAUGCGUGCAAUGGAAUCUGCUUGCGGAAAUUAAUACAUUAUUUGUUGCAUUACUUUUAUCACUUGUGUGAGAUUAAUUCUAUAAAAAUUAAAUAACAGUAUGUUCUACAUCAAUUGUUAAUUUUUUAACGUAAAUGUAAUGUUUUUGGGAGAAUAGAAUAAAUAAUAAUGAUAAUAAUAUUUAUUUUAUUUCGCGAUUGAACCAGUGUGGGAAGUGAAAGGGAUAUUGGUAAAGGUAAAGGGUAAAGGAGGGACUAUAGAUGAAUAAUUAAAAUAAAAUAAUAAUUGCACAAACCAGAUAUCAUCUGAGGGUUAGUAAACACCAUCUUCUAAUUAAUAAUUUCUAGAACGCCUUUUUAUAUUUAAAUUAUUUAAUAUAUUUUAGCAAAAAUAAUUUCGAAAGGUACCUAUUCGACACCGCACUCGAAAAAAGUUUUCACCGUGAGAUUGUACCUACUUUUUCACAUAAUUAUCAUUUCUUAAAGCUUAAUAAAUACUUUCAAUUUCCCAUUAAAAUUACCAGCGCUUUUUUGUUUCAACUAUGUUAUAGAUUUAAACAUAAAUAGGUAAAUGACUUAUUUGUCAACACACUUGGAAAACGUUAGCACCAUUAGAUUCUACGUACUUUUUCACAUAUAUCUCAUUUCUAAAAACUUAAUUAAUACCUUCCAUCACAUUGUAAAAUUACGAGCGCCUUUUUAUGUAUCAACCAUUUUACAGAUUUUAACAUAAAUAAUGUCGUAAGCUAACUAUUUGAAGACGCACUCAAAAACUGUUAGUACCAUUCGAUUCUACGUACAUUUUUACAUAUAUCUCAUUUCUAAAAGAUUAAUUAGUACCUUACACCCCCCUGUAAAAUUACGAGCGCUUUUUUAUGUAUCAACUAUUUUAUAGAUUUAAACAUAAAUAAUACCUAUUUGACAACGCACUAGAAAACCGUUAGCACCAUUAGAUUCUACGUACUUUUUUACAUGUAUCACAUUAUUAAAAGCUUAAUUAAUAUCUUCCAUCUACCAGCAAAAUUACGAGCGCCUUUUUAUGUAUUAAUAAUUUUAUAUAGACUUUAUCAUAAAUACGUAAUGCCCUAAACUACCUCUUUGACAACGCACUAGAAAACCGUUAGCACCAUUAGAUUCUACGUACUUUUUUACAUGUAUCACAUUAUUAAAAGCUUAAUUAAUACCUUCCAUCAUCCUGUAAAAUUACGAGCGCCUUUUUAUGUAUCAAUAAUUUUAUAUAGACUUUAUCAUAAAUAAUGCUCUAAACUACCUAUUUAAAAACGCACUAGAAAACCGUUAACACCAUUAGAUUUUACGUACUUUUUUAUAUGUAUCACGUUUCUAAAAGCCUAAUUAAUACCUUCCAUCACCCAGUAAAAUUACGAGGGCGUUGUUAUGUUUAAAUCAUUGUCUAUGCUUUAGCAAAUAUGACUAGAAAUUGUAAGUAAUUUAUUAUAGGGUAAGCAUGAGAUAAUAUUUUCGAUGUUUCCAAGGUGAUUAUAAUUUUGAAUUGCAAAUAUAUUAGUGUUACUAUCACAAUUAUGAUGAAAACAGAGAUUGAAAGUAUGUUGACAUAUAAGAUAAUCAAAUUUUCCAUGACUUAGAAGGGAAUGUUUAUAAUGUAAUUUAUAAGCCCAUUUUUUUCGUGUGAAAAAAUAAUCGUUCCGUGUGAUGUAUCACAAUCAAAUUUCUUGUUAGUAAAUCAUUCGAAAUUAUUGACCAAGACAAAUCCAAAAUCAGUCCGGUAAGACUGAAUUUCUUAUCGAAUCAAAUUAAACGCCAAAUUACCAUGAUUAGAAUUAAGAGUGAAUUUGUUGAUUGAAAACGAAAUUAAAUUCGUACUAAUGCUACCCACUUGUAUUUUAAAUGCGUUUAAAUAGUUUUCAUAUUUUUUUUUUUACUCAUUUGAUACAUAUUAGGUCAAUUGAACAGUUAAAAAUUCGCUUAAUCAUGCACUUUAUCGUAAGUUUAAAGCUUUUGAUGUUUAGUAUUUGUUGCCUCAGUCAAAAUAUCGUGUCGUCUCAAUCUGAAGGAGAUCCAGAAUUUGGAGAAUGGGACCAUGAUCGAUUAAAAAAUGCUGAGAUUGAAUCUAAUGUACAGGAUUCUCCUCCGGUGUACGACUCUAAUUCUCUUCAUAUGUACGAUUCUGAUUCGCGUUCAAAUAAUGAAGACGAUUACUUUAAAUCAUCAAAAAAUGAUUACGACUAUGAUAUGCCCGCCGAUGAAAGUACUAAAUUAGAAGGCGAUUAUUGAAAUCAUUUUUUUAUCCAUUAGAUUAUUAAAUUACUAACUACAAUGAUUUUUUAUCAAUAAAUAAAU